AUGAACGCUGGCGGCGUGCCUAAUACAUGCAAGUCGAGCGAACAGACGAGGAGCUUGCUCCUUUGACGUUAGCGGCGGACGGGUGAGUAACACGUGGGUAACCUACCUAUAAGACUGGGAUAACUUCGGGAAACCGGAGCUAAUACCGGAUAAUAUUUCGAACCGCAUGGUUCGAUAGUGAAAGAUGGCUUUGCUAUCACUUAUAGAUGGACCUGCGCCGUAUUAGCUAGUUGGUAAGGUAACGGCUUACCAAGGCAACGAUACGUAGCCGACCUGAGAGGGUGAUCGGCCACACUGGAACUGAGACACGGUCCAGACUCCUACGGGAGGCAGCAGUAGGGAAUCUUCCGCAAUGGGCGAAAGCCUGCCGGAGCAACGCCGCGUGAGUGAUGAAGGUCUUCGGAUCGUAAAACUCUGUUAUUAGGGAAGAACAAACGUGUAAGUAACUGUGCACGUCUUGACGGUACCUAAUCAGAAAGCCACGGCUAACUACGUG
rnacentral:rRNA from 1 species